GUUUCUUUCAAAGCCGCUUUCUCACAAUCCAGUUUCUGAAGCCCGGAACAGAUCCUUUGUGAGGUUCCGAAAAGGGCUUGUAAGGAGAGGCCACAGUUGAACUCAAACAACUGGAGAGAGCCUUUGAGUCUGCCUGAAAGGAUCCUAUUUUUGAUGACAAUGCGCAGAUCUCACCUUCACCGUCAUCCCAUGAGGCCUCCUGAGAUUGCCCCUAGACAGCCCCUUGGAUGCUUCCUGCCAGAGCCCGGAAUCAUCCACCUGCCCUCCCCAUGAGGGUGUGAAGGGAUAUCUGGUCUUAAGGAUGGAAAUGUCCACAAAAUAGACAGGGCCUGUUAUCCUGAGAGAACUGAGUACUACAUUGUACUCAGCAUUGUAGGACCUCAACAACUGAGCUGUCUG